AGCAGCCGCGGUAAUUCCAGCUCCAAUAGCGUAUAUUAAAGUUGUUGCAGUUAAAAAGCUCGUAGUUGAAUUUCGAGAUCAAAUUGUUGGUCGUGCCUCGGUACGUACUGGCAUUAUUGAUUUCUCCCUUCUGAAGAACCACGAUGUCAUUAAUUUGGUGUCGUGGGGAAUCAGGACUGUUACUUUGAAAAAAUUAGAGUGUUUAAAGCAGGCUCACGCUUGAAUACAUUAGCAUGGAAUAAUGAAAUAGGACGUUUGAUUCUAUUUUGUUGGUUUCUAGGAUCGACGUAAUGAUUAAUAGGGAUAGUUGGGGGCACUAGUAUUCAAUUGUCAGAGGUGAAAUUCUUGGAUUUAUUGAAGACUAACUACUGCGAAAGCAUUUGCCAAGGAUGUUUUCAUUAAUCAAGAACGAAAGUUAGGGGAUCGAAGACGAUCAGAUACCGUCGUAGU
rnacentral:rRNA from 1 species